rnacentral:lncRNA from 1 species
UUUUCUGUUUUAAUUUAUGUUACUAUUUAUGUACUUUUUUAGGUUGAAUUGUUGUUGGAUUUUUGUCUCCGAUAUCCGAUACCGGCCGCGCCGAACUGUUUUGAAUUGCUGUUGGACCAUCUCCCGGGAGGUGUUUGUUUUGAUUAAGGUUUGUAAUUUACAAAUUAAUUAAGGUCUUUUGAUAUUGCUUAUUUGUUGCGAUAUAUAGUUUAUGAUAUGUUAUGUGUUUUGUUGUGUUGAUUGAUCGAUAUAUAUGUUUGUGAUAUGUUAUGUGUUGAUAUUUUGUUGUAGGUAUUUGCAGAUAUUUGUAAUUAACAUUUGCGGUCGAAAUUCAAGUUGCGCUUUAAUAUUUAUCGAUCGAUUGAUGCAAUAUUUUUUAUUCUUUUUAAAUUAUUCAUUUAUUAAUUAGUUAAUAUAAUUUGCAUGUUAAUUAAAUAAUUGGAAAAUGAAAUGCAUGUUCUUAAAUUGUGUGAAUUUAAAAUGAAUACAAAUUUUUUGAAAUGAAUGCUAUUAAAUAAUGAAAUGCCAUGAGAUGAAUUGAAAUACAUGAGUUAAAAUGAAUGCAUGAGUUAAAAUUAAAUCAAAAUUUAAAUAAAUUUAAAAAUUAGUUAAAUAAAUGUUUAGUAAUUAUUUAUUAAUUGAAAUAAUUAAUAAUUAUUUAAUUAAUUAGGGUUAGGGUUAGUUAGUUAGUUUUUAAAUAAUUGUUGAAUAAAAUAUUGGAAAUUUCAAUAAUCAGUUUUUAUAUUAAGAACUUGAUUUAAAAUCCAAUUUUUAAAACAAUUAUCUAAAAAUUAAAAUCAUUUAUUUAAUUAAUAAUUAAAAAAAGUGACAAUCAGAAUUUCUCCGUGGAUGUGUAUGAAACAACUCAAUUGUUAAACAAAUUAUGAAAAAACGCUUAUAACGGUUUAAUAGAUAAACAUAAUUUCUAGAAUUAUCAAAGACAAUCGGGCAAAACAAACUUCAUUCAAUUUAGGUUUGAAAAGUCUAACACAACGAAAUUACGAAGUUGUAAGUAAAUUAUUUAAUUUCAUAUAUACUUCAAUUUUUUUUCUUUUUAUUUUUAAUAUUUCAUAAACAAAAAGGAUUAUCUGAACUUGAAAUUUGGAAACAAAAUAUAAAAGCAGUUUAUCCAAAAGACGAACGAGUGAUUCGUAAUUUUAUUUAUUAAUUACAGUUAAUUACUAUUUUUUGACUGUUUUCAUUUUUUUUAAGGAUAAAACGUUUUAAUGGAUAGAAAGUGAUGAAGCAAAAAAUAUAGUUGAACAAGAAAAUAUGACGGUCACGGUAUUUCAUUUUUUUCCAUAUAAUUAAUUAAAGAAUUUUACAUUAUUUUCAUCUUAUUUUUUUAAUUAUGCUCUCGUCAACUUUGCUAUAACCGAACAUAUUGGUAGAAGCUCGAAGAAAAUUAGAUUAUUAGGAACAACUGAUUGCUCAUUUAGCAAAAAGACAACGAAUCGGAUGAAUGUGAGAAACUUUUCAACAGAUAAAGGAGAACGUUCUAUAACCGAAGAUGAGGUUGAUAAUAAGGUUAACGAGGCAGUCGAGAAGACAAUGACUAGUCAGAAUGAAACGAUG